rnacentral:rRNA from 1 species
GAUGAACGCUAGCGGCAGGCCUAAUACAUGCAAGUCGAACGAGAUUAAGAGGCUUGCUUCUUAUGAAAGUGGCGCACGGGUGCGUAACGCGUAUGCAACCUACCUUAAUCAGGGGGAUAGCCCGAAGAAAUUCGGAUUAAGACCGCAUAAAAACACAGGAUAGCAUUAUCCAAUGUUCAAAUAUUUAUAGGAUUAAGAUGGGCAUGCGUGUCAUUAGCUAGUUGGCGGGGUAACGGCCCACCAAGGCGACGAUGACUAGGGGAUCUGAGAGGAUGACCCCCCACACUGGUACUGAGACACGGACCAGACUCCUACGGGAGGCAGCAGUAACGAAUAUUGGUCAAUGGAGGGAACUCUGAACCAGCCAUGCCGCGUGCAGGAAGACAGCCCUCUGGGUCGUAAACUGCUUUUAUUCGGGAAUAAACCUUUCUACGUGUAGGAAGCUGAAUGUACCGAAGGAAUAAGGAUCGGCUAACUCCGUG